ensembl:lncRNA
GUGAGGUAGAAAGUCCCAUGCCUCACUAGAACCAGGGAGACAGAUGAGGAACUACCUUGUGGCCGCUCCUCCCGAGAAGGGCUAUCUUGCCAUGUCUCUGGGAUGGCCAUGGUGGAAUGGGGCCUAUGCAGAGACCUGCAAGGUCACCAGGGUGCCUUUCCCUACAGUACCUAGAGUGUUGUGUUUCUGUUGACAGUAUGAAAGUCAGUCAGCCUCUUGCCCAGGUUUUCACAGUGGCCUCCUUCCUUAGCUCUUUCCCGUAAAGACUCCUCCUUGCUUCCUGCGCAGUACCUUCUGCUUCCUCUGAAACCUUUACUCCCCUGUUGGUCCCUGUACUUCCUAUUUUGUGUCGCUACUCAUCUCUCCAUGUCUUUGUAACUGACACCAGAUAAAGAAUCUCUUGAGGACAAGUCUUGAAUUUAUACCUCUUUGUAAUCACCACAUGUACAUAUUAGAUAUUCGAUAAACAUUUGUUGAUUGGUCGAGAGAAAAGGAAUCAUUCAUUUAAACCUGAGCACAGAGUCCUUUUGGGGUUAAGUCUUCGUCAAAUCUCUUACUGAUGCUUGUUUUACUUAUUUGGCUGCAAAUCUCGUGAACAGUAGAUGAUCAUAGCCUUUUUCUGAAAGACAAGUACAGUGUCUCAGAGAAACCAACUCAAAACAUGCCGUGCAUCCGGUUUCUUGUGGCCUGUAUGAGUAGGUCGCUGUGACUGCAGUCUUGUUUGAAGGGGUUAAUGACCUCAGAAAGAGAGGCAACCUCAAUCACAUUUGUACUACUACAGACCUAAGAACCUCAGUGUCCCGCCUGAACCUGUACAAACUUGAAAAAGAGUCAUAGACCUACUCGCUAUUUUUUUAUGUAGUACCAUCUUUGAAAAUCUGCCAGUUCUCCCACUAGUUUACUGUAAAGACAACGCACCAUUUUAGGAUGAAAUUUCCCUAAAGGUCAUGGAAAUAACAUGUCCGCUGAACUUAAAGCAAAUAUGAAAAUCUAUUCAGACAGAAAAUAAUCAGGUUUUGUGAACUGGAAGCAACAGUUUAUCACUCAAGAGUAGCUUGCAAUUAAAAUGUCUGUUUUUUUAAUCUCUGUUCAUUCAUUCAUUCGCAAAAAAAUUUUUUUAGCACCUAUGAAAGCCAAGCAGUCAACAUGGAAUCUACAAUUCCCAGUGAGUCAACGGACUGUGGGGGACUGUGGAAUUCUGGAAGGGGCUCAGGAGGCCACCUGGAUGAUAUUACCUGUUCUGGCCAUUAAGAAUAAAGCUGCUAUGAACAUGGAUGGACAAAGCUCUGUGUGGACUUCUGUGUUUAUUUGUAUUUGGUAAACACCAAGGAGUGGGAUUACUGGGUCGUAAGCAAGUGAAUAUUUAAUUUUAUAAGAAACAACUGAAGUAUUUUCUGAAGUGGCUGUACCAUUUGGCAUUCCCACCAGAAAUAUGAGAUUUCUAGUUGCUCCAUAUCUUUGCCAGUAUUUGAUAUGAUCCAUUCUGUUGUUUAUUUGUGCUGUUUUGUUUUAAUUUUAGCCAUCCUAAUAGGUGGAUAGUGGCAUCUGACCAUGGUUUUACUUUGUGUUUCUCUGGUGACUAAUGAUAUAAAGUAUUUUUCAUGUGCUCAUUUGUCAUCUGUAUCUUUUCUUUGUUGAAGUGUUUGUUCAAAUCUUUUGUCUAUUUCCAAAAAUUGG